UGGCGGCGUGCCUAAUACAUGCAAGUCGAACGGUCUUUCUAUGGAAGCUUGCUUCCACUGAGAAGAUAGUGGCGAACGGGUGAGUAACACGUGGGUAACCUGCCCAUAAGAGGGGGAGUAACAUCCGGAAACGGGUGCUAAUACCGCAUAGUUUUCUUGAUCGCAUGAUCGGGAAAGGAAAGACGGCCUUUGUGCUGUCGCUUAUGGAUGGACCCGCGGCGUAUUAGUUAGUUGGUGAGGUAACGGCUCACCAAGACGAUGAUACGUAGCCGACCUGAGAGGGUGAUCGGCCACAUUGGGACUGAGACACGGCCCAAACUCCUACGGGAGGCAGCAGUAGGGAAUCUUCCGCAAUGGACGAAAGUCUGACGGGAGCAACGCCGCGUGAGUGAAAAGUAAGGUUUUCGGAUCGUAAAACUCUGUUGUCAGAGAAGAACAAGUUGGAGAGUAACUGCUCCAGCCUUGACGGUAUCUGACCAGAAAGCCACGGCUAACUACGUGCCAGCCGCCGC
rnacentral:rRNA from 1 species